CCUACGGGUGGCAGCAGUGGGGAAUAUUGGACAAUGGGCGAAAGCCUGAUCCAGCCAUGCCGCGUGUGUGAAGAAGGCCUUCGGGUUGUAAAGCACUUUCAGUGGGGAAGAAAGCCUUGGGGCUAAUACCCUCGAGGAAGGACAUCACCCACAGAAGAAGCACCGGCUAACUCCGUGCCAGCAGCCGCGGUAAUACGGAGGGUGCGAGCGUUAAUCGGAAUUACUGGGCGUAAAGCGCGCGUAGGCGGUCUGAUAAGCCGGUUGUGAAAGCCCCGGGCUCAACCUGGGAACGGCAUCCGGAACUGUCAGGCUAGAGUGCAGGAGAGGAAGGUAGAAUUCCCGGUGUAGCGGUGAAAUGCGUAGCGAGCGGGAGGAAUACCAGUGGCGAAGGCGGCCUUCUGGACUGACACUGACGCUGAGGUGCGAAAGCGUGGGUAGCAAACAGGAUUAGAUACCCUGGUAGUC
rnacentral:rRNA from 1 species